rnacentral:rRNA from 1 species
AUCGAACGCUGGCGGCAGGCUUAACACAUGCAAGUCGAGCGGGGGAAGGUAGCUUGCUACCGGACCUAGCGGCGGACGGGUGAGUAAUGCUUAGGAAUCUGCCUAUUAGUGGGGGACAACAUCUCGAAAGGGAUGCUAAUACCGCAUACGUCCUACGGGAGAAAGCAGGGGAUCUUCGGACCUUGCGCUAAUAGAUGAGCCUAAGUCGGAUUAGCUAGUUGGUGGGGUAAAGGCCUACCAAGGCGACGAUCUGUAGCGGGUCGGAGAGGAGGAUCCGCAACACUGGGACUGAGCCACGGCCCAGACUCCUCCGGGAGGCAGCAGUGGGGAAUAUUGGACAAGGGGGGGAACCCUGAUCCAGCCAUGCCGCGUGUGUGAAGAAGGCCUUAUGGUUGUAAAGCACUUUAAGGGAGGAGGAGGCUACUUUAGUUAAUACCUAGGGAUAGUGGACGUUACUCGCAGAAUAAGCACCGGCUAACUCUGUGCCAGCCGCCGCCGUAA